UUUCAUGGAGUUUUGCUUUGAUGCAUUACUUUAGUGUUUGUGAAAUUCAGGGCAUGGAUUGAAUCUAUGUGUAGUUCGAACUAGCCCUACUUGAGCAUUUCCUUUGGAUGGUAAAUGACUGGUUUUGUUUAUCAGUUUAUAAGAGUUUAUCAAUUAAAAAUAUUAUCAGUUGGCAUCACUUUUGGCGGUCCGGCAAUACUCCGCUAUAAGGAUCGAUUUAAAGAAGCUGUCUUCUUGGCUUUUGACUCACCAUCCUGGAAGGUUAAUGGGGCUGCUGAUCAUCUUCUACGAUCCCUUCUUGGAAGUUAGGUUCAUUAUUAUCCAAUAGAUCAGAUCUCAAGUUUCAAGUGUCUUCUUCUCUGCUUCAAGCCUUCAACCCUCUCAGUCAGGUCAUGACAAAGAGCAAGGCAAUGGGUAUCCAUAUAAUCAACGAAGUCACAGAGCAAAUCAUGACAGAAACCUUAUAUGGUGAUAGUCGUAGGCUGCAGCAAGUCUUGGCUGACUUCUUAUUGAGUUGCAUCAAUUUUACGCCAACCAGAGGUCAAGUUGUUGUUGCAGCCUCUUUAACGAAAGAUCAAUUAGGCAAAUCAGUUCAUUUGGCUUACUUGGAGAUAAGCAUAACACAUGAUGGUGUUGGUGUUCCGGAAACACUGCUGAACAAAAUGUUCGGACGAGACGGACAAGAAUCCGAGGAGGGUAUUAGUCUGCUCAUCAGCAGAAAGUUGCUGAAGCUCAUGAAUGGAGACGUGCGGUAUCUGAGAGAAGCUGGCUAAUCAUCUUUCAUCUUAACAGUUGAACUGGCUGCUUCCCAGAAAUUGAUUGCUUAAAGUUAUAGGAAAUAAAGAAAUACUAUCAGUCUUUGUGCAUCAGAAAAGCAAGUGUGCAAGAA